GUCUCUCUCCAGAUAGGACCCAUGGUUUCUCAAUUGUUUCUCUUCUCUCUGGGAUGUCAAGAGCAGAAUCCUUCAGAGAAGGACCUGCUCCAGAAGUCCAGAUCAGCUUGCAUUAAGAGCAUGAAAAUGAAGAUGCAAGAAAACAGCUUGUAUGAGCAAAGCUAUUACUUAAAGUGGCAACUUUUAUCUCACCUCAACUUUACCAGAG